rnacentral:rRNA from 1 species
UUGUUCAACGAUUAAUACCCUACGUGAUCUGAGUUCAGACCGGAGUAAUCCAGGUCAGUUUCUAUCUAUUAUAGAGUCUAUUUUAGUACGAAAGGACCAAAUAGACAUGGCCUCUGUAAAAUGCAUGCCACAGCUACCAAUUUAUGUAUACACCUUAAUAAUAUACUAGCCUAAUACUUAGUUCAAGAUAAAGAACA